GGUCGGGUGGCGCAAUGGUAGCGCGCGGUCUUCCGGUCACGUGAUUCUGUCACAACGCUCAGCUGGCCGAGGCUCAGGGUUCGAGUCCCUGCUCGAUCG